rnacentral:rRNA from 1 species
UACGAAGGGUGCGAGCGUUGUCCGGAAUCACUGGGCGUAAAGGGCGCGUAGGCGGCGCGGAUAGUCGGCGGUGAAAGCCCGGAGCUCAACUCCGGGUCGGCCGUCGAUACUUCCGGGCUUGAGCACUGUAGAGGCAGAUGGAAUUCCGGGUGUAGCGGUGGAAUGCGUAGAGAUCCGGAAGAACACCGGUGGCGAAGGCGGUCUGCUGGGCAGUUGCUGACGCUGAUGCGCGACAGCGUGGGGAGCAAACAGG